UACGGUCAAAACAUAUUGAAACAUUGGUUCCCGUACGAUCACCGAAGUUAAGCAACGUCGAGCCUGGUCAGUACCUAGAUUGGUGACCGCUUGGUAAUAUCAGGUGCUACAA